GCAUAUUACAUAUAUACACACAGAAGCAGACAGGAUAAGACUAGCGUCAUAUCUGAGACAGUAACCAGGGCCGGACUGUUUCUGAAACCUCCAUCAUUUUCAUUGUGCAACAACACGGCAGCAGAGGACAAUUUGAUUUUGUCUUGGGAAUAAAGCACUACUGGAAAUCACAGGUCUCAGAUCAACACACGAUCUGCUCCACGAUCUGUGCCACAGUAAAUCUUAUGCAGUGCUACUUUUAAAACUCUCACAUAUUUGGACAAUCUAUAAUCUUCUACCACAAAAACAUACAAUUGUUCAUUGAAGUAAACACACAGAGCAGCAGUGGAUCUUUUAAAAAUGUGUUUUCUUUAUUUUGAUUUGCUGCUAACUGCAAGGUUUUUAUUUGUAGUUUUUGUAGUAGGAAGCACUGCAAAAACUACAAAUAAAAACAAAGUGCAGUUAACAAAUGUAGUGCUCUCCUGUAUGUAAAACCCUCACCUGAAUUUUUAGGUUUUUCAGUUCAAGCCAAAUAAAUGAAACCCAAAAAUUCAAUCCCAACAAUCAAAUGAUCCCCUAUGAGCAAGCACUCUGGCAACGGUGGAGAGGAAAAACUCCCUUUUAACAGGAAGAAACCUCUGGCAGAACCAGGCUCAGGGAGGGGCGGUCUUCUGCCAUGACUGGUUGGGGUGUGAGGAGCAAAAUAAAAUCAAACAUAAAGGAGAGCACAGAAUAUUUAUGACAGGUUGGUGGGCUGUGGCUGGAGUCCAAAGAUGCUCGAGUCCCACCUAAGGUGAUUCGAAGCGAUGAGAACCUUGUACCAAAAAUGGCUAUGAGGAUCGACCCAGAAGGGCAGACCGAAGAAACGGUGGAUGGACAAAAUCAAGGAAGACAUUAAGACCGUCAACGCAUCACCCGUCACGCCUUGGACAGAAGCAAAUGGAGAAACCUUUGCUGAAGAGCGGACCCUGCACCAGCGGGAACAACGCCAGGAUGAAGGUGGACUGUGGCUGGAAAACAUCAUUACUGUUUUUAAAGGGUUUCUGGUCCACAUCCACAAUUACUGUAAUUGUGGAUGUGGACCAGAAUCCACAAUUGUAGCGAUCAUGAUAGUAAUCAUGAUCCCACAGAGCGGGACAUUCACUUUAGCCGAAAAGCUUUGAGAUGGCCCAGCAAGCUGCAGGAACAACAAUGGCCGCUGUGGCAAGACCUACUUUAAGUAGGCUUUUGGCACCAUGACACCACGAACCAUGGGUCUCAGCCUCCUCAGGUUCAGGAGCAUUGCUAUUUAUUAUACACUGUGCUUCUUCCACUAGGCGCUGAUGAUUUUCCACAGUUUUCCUGAGUUCUGCGUUUUCUUUUAUAAUAUUUUCGUACCCUCUUCUGAGUUCUGCGUUUUCUUCCUUGAGUUCUGCGGUUUUUUUUGUAAUAUUUUCGUACCCUCUUCUGAGUUCUGCGUUUUCUUCCCUGAGUUCUGUGUCUUCUUUUGUAAUAUUUUCGUACCCUCUUCUGAGUUCUGCGUUUUCUUCUCCGAGUUCUGCGGUUUUUUUUGUAAUAUUUUCGUACCCUCUUCUGAGUUCUGCGUUUUCUUUUCCAAGUUCUGCGGUUUUUUUGUAAUAUCUUGGUACUCUCUUCUGAGUUCUCCGUUUUUUGUUUGUAUAUUUUCGUACCCUCUUCUGAGUUCUGUUUGUUUUUCCCUCAUUUUUUUUAUCUCUUCCCUGUGUUCUCUCCUACUGUCUUUAUACUCUUCGUUGAUUUUAUCUCGGUCCCUUCUAACGUCAGACAGCUGAGUAGCAAUUAUACUGUCUAACUCAGCAUUUAGCUUUACUAAUUCAUUAAUCUGAGACAGUCUAAUAUUAAAAGCCUGAAGCCACAGCCUUAGUAAUUCCAAUCCACUAUUGCUUCCAGAAGGUAAGUUAUUUAAUGAUUCCGGUGACAUUUUUUAAAGGUUUAAAGAACGGUGUCACGGGUUAAAUACGUAUUAGCUUUGUCUAAAACAACUGGCUGUUUCUGAAAAUGCUCCAAUGUAAACUGUUAAAGGCGCUCCCCUAUUUAAGGACUCGGAGACCGUGAAGUCGACCGUGACGUCAGAAUGGUCCUUUGAAGGUCAAAGGAUCAAAGAGCGAGGGGGCGUUCCAAGAUGGCCGAGUAAGUACACGCUUACUGCCGAGCUUAGCAAACGUAACCCUAUAAUACGGUAGGAACACUGUGUCAACUCAGACCUCAGAAGCUUUUUAGGUAUUUAAGCCAGAAAAGGACUGAUUUUGAUCAAUAAAGCGACAAAAUGUCACAGCGUGACAAUAAAAGACCCUCGGCUAGCUCCACAACGAAGCUACUGCUAAAGGCUAAUGCUAGCCAAACAGCCGGGUCGGUAAACCCACUGCUUGACAACUGCCAUGACUACACGGCUCUUUCACUACCUCUCCCAAUAACCGAGGACGUAAUGGACGAGUUUCCACCUCUACCCGUCUCACCCAGCCAGUCUCCGGCGCCAAAGAAAGCGUUGCAUUCAAAGACAGAAUCUCCAACUAUUCCACAUGUGGUCUCUUAUUGGAAUUCCUUUGUCAGUGACAUCAACUGGAAAAGAGCAUGGACAAUUCCUAACAAGUAUCUGGUAACGAAUAAAGUGAAGGAAGUCUCAUUUAAAAUGCUGCAUAAAUUUUAUCCUGCUAAUCAUUAUGUGACAAAGUUCAAAAGGGACAUAAAUGUGAACUGUGGAUUUUGUGGAAGCCAACCUGAGACUGUGCAGCACCUCUUCUGGAUCUGUUCAUACACUAGAACAUUUUGGAAAGACUUCAGUAGAUUCAUUGCUGGACAUCUCUACAAAGACUUUACUGUGAAAUGGGACAAUGUUGUAUUUUGUUUCUUUCGAAGGCAAAAAGAAAGAUGUUUACUUUAUUAUAAACUUUUUAUCUUAGCUAAAUUUUAUUUUCACAAAUGCAAAUACAGUAAUCAAAAGCCUAAUUUUAAACAUUACUAUAAUGAUGUUUUAUGUUACAUAAAAUUGAUUUGUGGAUGACUUAACAAAAAUGCUAUGAAAACUAUUACCAUUUGUAGUAAUUACAAAUUAUUUGAAUGUAUGUAAUUCUUUGUAUUACACCCCCUGGCAUAUGUUAAUUUUGCUCUGGUUGUGUACACGUUCUGUAUACUGUUUCUCAAUAAAGUUUAAUAAUAAUUUUAAAAAAGGA